CGUCCGCUUUCCAUACUGGCAUGGGUUGGACGAUUUGAUUGAGCAACAAGACCUGAUCAACAUCUGUAAUCAGCGUAAAUUCCCAGCAAGGAUAAAAAGGAACUUCACCAUGCGCAACAAUAGAAUGCCUACAUUUUACCAUCUUAUUGAGAUGCAUAAACAUGGACCU